rnacentral:lncRNA from 1 species
UAUAUUUGAUUUCAUAGUAGCUUCUACUAUAUCACGAAUCAUGCAAGCAAUCUGAACAUGUUGGUCAAUAAAAGUAUGUGAACAUCAUUACAAAAAUAUUAGAAUACAUGAGAACAGUAAUCCGUCCACUUCAAAUCAUAACUAAACAUAUAUUUCGAACUGCAUGAUCCCAGACCAAACACAAUAGAAGAGACACACAUAAUAUCAAGUGUUACAUAACAUGAGAGGAUCAUUUUUGGUACAUAACAGGCAAGACUAAAAACCAAGGACUAAAAUAAUCACCGUUCAACAAGCAUUGCCACUAGAAAUUGCAUCAACUUUUGGCACUUGAUGGUACACAACAGUAAAGCUGCCUUUGCCUGCGUUACUAGUGCUUAUUGUUCAUCGAGCUUCUUGUGCUGGAAGAGACGAGACCUAAUAAAAAGAAGAAUCAGUUAGCACAGGUCCGUACAAGUGACAUGGAUUCAUACUUUUCUUAUUACUCAUAAUCUAAUCAAAUGAAUAUGUAUCAAUGAUGCCUUCUAACUGUGUGCUGCACAUACUACAUGGAAGGACAAAUAGAGAUGAAUCAAAUUCAUCCCAAAACAUGACCUAUAUGCUUCUAUACUCGAACUGGCAGAGAAGCCAGCUAUUUUGGAUCAUCCUAACUUACUGAUAAUGAAACAGAUUAUAAAACAUUAUUUGUCUUGUACAAAAAACCACUCUAAUGCAUUGAACAACCAUCCAUAGACCUCAUAUCAGCAGAUUACAAGUUUCAAGGACUACUUAAAAGCAGAGAUAGUUGUAAAAGAAAAUGAUGGCAUGCAUUAUAUUACUUUGGAAUAAUAACAAGAACACUACAACGACACAGGAAAUAAAAAUGAACAAGAUGAUUGAGAGGCCUGUAUGAUGGAAGAAGAAUUGAUCCUAAAUCAUGGGCAUACAUGAUACAUCCUUCUGUAGUGAUACAUCUUGAUUUUGAACACUGUUGACCGAUUCCACGGUGCAAACAAAAUUUCAGUAAACAAAAGUAUCAAAGAAGGAUGAGAUGCAGCAGCAAAACAAGAGAGGACGAGCUUAAUACUAGUCGACGAACUCCGGAUCUAUCUAUCAUACACAGAGCAGAAAUUGUGUUUCCGCCAAUAUCACCUCAAAAAACAACAAAAAUGAGAAAUCAACCCCAAUUCCAAGGUUGCAAAUUUAAAACACACACGGAAAAAGAUUCUUCGUUUUUAGGUAAAAAGUUACAGUUGUUCUUUUUACAGUAUCCAGCAAGAUGACAUAUUUUCACAAUGCCAAAUUGCUUGAAAAUCUAGUCUAAGCAAACUAUAGCAAGCUUGUCCAGUCUUUUUUUUGGCUGCUAGUAUAGCCCUCUCCUUUCUCUGCCUAGUCCUGUGAUAUGCAAUUGCCGAUGCUGGAACUUAAAACAGAAGUAGUGCAUGCAAUGGUGUUGUACAGGUUGCUUCUGCUAGAACACCCAUGUGCUAGCUAGCUAGUAGAAUGCAUUGUUCAGUGCUUAGCUUAGUACCCAAUGAUGUUAUAAAAAUCUGCAUAAGCUCCCAUGUGCUAGCGGAGGCAGUGGCUAUGAAUCAGUCAGGCCAUACAUAUGCACUAGUAGAAAACAGGGCUUUCGUUCGGACCUGGCCAGCCCAUUAGUCCCGGUUCGUGAGCCCAGGGGGCCGGCCAGGCCACGUGGGCCACUGGUCCCGGUUCGUCUGGACCUUUUGGUCCCGGUUCAACGCACGAACCGGGACCAAUGCGCCUCGCCCCUGGCCCAUGACACAAACCGGGACUAAAGGGUUGGUCCAGUUUAGUCCCACCUCGCCAAAAGAAGGGCGCUCACACCGGUUUAUAAGCCCGUCCCUCUCUGCCUUGUUGAGCUCCUCUCAAAAUGAAAAUAGAUGCCCUUAUACAGGGAAUUUGACCUAAAUUCAUAGUGAGUUUCUCUGAAAUUCAUAGAAAUUUAUUAUGAAUUUAGGUUGAAUUUUCUCUAUAGGCGCAUCUAUGCUCAUUUUUUUAUGUUGGGGUUGGCGAUCUUUACAGACUUUUUGUGUGUUGAAUAUGCACCAUUCAAAAUCAGUCUCUGCUUUGAAUGGUUCAUUUUGAACACACAAAAAGUCAGGAGUUCAAAUAAGUUUAAAAAAAUGAAAUCCCUUUGUAACAAAUGAGUUUUCGUCCGAAACCCUGAUACUUCGAAAGAGAUUGUCCAUUUUGUUCACGAAGUGCAUCCACCUUUUGCCGGGACCCUCUCAACUUUGUUGCACAUGCUAUGUGGAUGAAAUGAUGAUACCAUGCCAACUUUCAACCUUUUCAGAGUUCAUUUGAAAUGCUUUUCAAUUUUAGGGUCUUAUAGCUCAAAAUAAUUAGUAAAUGCAUGAAAAUUAACAAAUGAAGUCAGAAAGGAUUGAAAAAUGAUGAUGUGGCUUUGAAUGGUGCAUUUUGAACACACAAAAAGUCAGGAGUUCAAAUAAGUUUUAAAAANNNNNNNNNNUCCAGUUUUUGCCGUAACCCUCUCAACUUUCUUGCACAUGCUAUGUGGAUGAAAUGAUGAUAUCAUGCCAACUUUCAACCUUUUCAGAGUUCAUUUGAAAUGCUUUUCAAUUUUAGGGUCUUAUAGCUCAAAAUAAUUAGUAAAUGCAUGAAAAAUAACAAAUGAAGUCAGAAAGGAUUGAAAAAUGAUGAUGUCUUUGAAUGGUGCAUUUUGAACACACAAAAAGUCAGGAGUUCAAAUAAGUUUUAAAAAAUGAAAUCCCAUUGUAACAAACGAGUUUCCGGAUGAAAUCCUGAUACUUUGAAAGAGAUUGUCCGUUUUGUACACGAAGUGCAUCCAGUUUUUGCCGUAACCCUCUCAACUUUCUUGCACAUGCUAUGUGGAUGAAAUGAUGAUAUCAUACAGCCUUUAAACCUUUUCAGAGUUCAUUUGAAAUGCUUUUCAAUUUUAGGGUCUUAUAGCUCAAAAUAAUUACUAAAUGCAUGAAAAAUAAUCAAUGAAGUCAGAAAGGAUUGAAAAAUGAUGAUGUGGAUUUGAAUGGUGCAUUUUGAACACACAAAAAGUCAGGAGUUUAAAUAAGUUUUAAAAAAUGAAAUCCCUUUGUAACAGAUGAGUUUCCGGAUGAAAUCCUGAUACUUUGAAAGAGAUUGUCCGUUUUGUACACGAAGUGCAUCCAGUUUUUGCCGUAACCCUCUCAACUUUCUUGCACAUGCUAUGUGGAUGAAAUGAUGAUAUCAUGCCAACUUUCAACCUUUUCAGAGUUCAUUUGAAAUGCUUUUCAAUUUUAGGGUCUUAUAGCUCAAAAUAAUUAGUAAAUGCAUGAAAAAUAACAAAUGAAGUCAGAAAGGAUUGAAAAAUAAUGAUGUGGCUUUGAAUGGUGCAUUUNNNNNNNNNNAAGUCAGGAGUUUAAAUAAGUUUUAAAAAAUGAAAUCCCUUUGUAACAGACGAGUUUUCGUAUGAAAUCAUGAUACUUUGAAAGAGAUUAUCCGUUUUGUACACGAAGUGCAUCCAGUUUUUGUCGUAACCCUCUCAACUGUCUUGCACAUGCUAUGUGGAUAAAAUAAUGAUACCAUGCCAACUUUCAACCUUUUCAGAGUUCAUUUGAAAUGCUUUUCAAUUUUAGGGUCUUAUAGCUCAAAAUAAUUAGUAAAUGCAUGAAAAUAACAAAUGAAGUCAGAAAGGAUUGAAAAAUGAUGAUGUGGCUUUGAAUGGUGCAUUUUGAACACACAAAAAGUCAGGAGUUCAAAUAAGUUUUAAAAAAUAAAAUCCCGACGAGUUUCCGUAUGAAAUCCUGAUACUUAAAAGAGAUUGUCCGUCUUGUACACGAAGUGCAUCCAGUUUUUGCCGUAACCCUCUCAACUUUCUUGCACAUGCUAUGUGGAUGAAAUGAUAAUACCAUGCCAAUUUUCAACCUUUUCAGAGUUCAUUUGAAAUGCUUUUCAAUUUUAGGAUCUUAUAGCUCAAAAUAAUUAGUAAAUGCAUGAAAAAUAACAAAUGAAGUCAGAAAGGAUUGAAAAAUGAUGAUGUGGCUUUGAUUGGUGCAUUUUGAACACACAAAAAGUCAGGAGUUCAAAUAAGUUUUAAAAAAUAAAAUCCCUUUGUAACAGACGAGUUUCCGUGUGAAAUCCUGAUACUUCGAAAGAGAUUUUCAUAAAGAACUUUUUUGAUAGAAACUUUAAUAGCAAAAAGGAUUAUCAUAAAGUAAAAUAAAUAAGUAAUUAGAAACAAAACAAAAUAAAAUAAAUAAGUAUUUUGUUGUAAGUAGAAACAAAAUAAAAUAAAUAAAGCAAAAAAGAAAAGAAAAUAACUGGGAAAAAAAUAAAAAAAUGCCACCUACUGGGCCACCACGGCCUGAAUACGACUAGAAACCCAUCAAUGGGCCAAGAUUCAGGCCCGCAGAAGGCCCAGCAGGCCCACAGACAUAGAAGUGCAAGAUUAGGCCCAGAGGCCUGCAGUUCAGAGGAGUUCAAUGGAGAUGGCGGGGGCAGGGCUUAUAAACAGGUCGUGCCGCUCCUCGGCUAGCGAGGUGGGACUAAACAUCCCACAGCACCGCGGCUUUGGCAGGCAUUGGUCCCGGUUCGUGGCACCAACCGGGAUCAAAGCCCUCUGCUUCCCGCCCUUUGGGCUGCUGAAAAGAGGCCUUUGGUCCCGGUUGGUGCUACCAACCGGGACCAAAGAGGGGCAUUUGUCCCGGUUCGUGACAAGAACCGGGACUAAAGCUUCAUGUAUAUAAGGCACACUUGUGAAAAUUUUGGUUUGCAUCUUGCAGUUCGCCCCCGACGACGCGCGCGGAGAGGAUGCCGUCGCCGUCGUCCCCGCCCCGGAGCCCACGCCGACGCCGUCGCCGUCUGCCGCCCCCNNNNNNNNNNNNNNNNNNNNNNNNNNNNNNNNNNNNNNNNNNNNNNNNNNNNNNNNNNNNNNNNNNNNNNNNNNNNNNNNNNNNNNNNNNNNNNNNNNNNNNNNNNNNNNNNNNNNNNNNNNNNNNNNNNNNNNNNNNNNNNNNNNNNNNNNNNNNNNNNNNNNNNNNNNNNNNNNNNNNNNNNNNNNNNNNNNNNNNNNNNNNNNNNNNNNNNNNNNNNNNNNNNNNNNNNNNNNNNNNNNNNNNNNNNNNNNNNNNNNNNNNNNNNNNNNNNNNNNNNNNNNNNNNNNNNNNNNNNNNNNNNNNNNNNNNNNNNNNNNNNNNNNNNNNNNNNNNNNNNNNNNNNNNNNNNNNNNNNNNNNNNNNNNNNNNNNNNNNNNNNNNNNNNNNNNNNNNNNNNNNNNNNNNGACGCCGUCCACCGCCCCCACCAUCGCCGUCGUCGACGCCGUCGCCGCCCCCGCCGUCGCCCUAGCCGGCCGGCCCCGCUGUGAGCCGCCGCCGCCCCGAAUCCUUUUUUUUUCAUUUUUUUAUAUGUAUUUUUCCAUGUAUAUAUACUAGUAAGUGUUUAAUAAAAUUAGUUAGAUUAGUUGAAUUAGAUGUUUUUCCAUGUAUUUUAGAUUAGUUGAAUUAGAUGUUUUUUUGUCAAUUUAUGUAUAUAUAUGUGCAUAUUUAGAAAAAAAAUUGUGUUGAACUAGUUAAAUAUAAUAGAACUAGUUAAACAAAUUUAUUUUUAGUAAGUGCUUAGUAGUUGAACUAGUUGAUUUAAUAAAACUACUUUAUUUUACUAUAGAAGUAGUUUAUUUUAGUAAGUAUUACUUUAUUUUAUUUAUAGUAAGUGCUUAAUUAGUACUUGAACUAGUUGAUUUAAUAAAACUACUUUAUUUUACUAUAUAUAGAAGUAGUUUAUUUUUAGUAAGAACUAUUUUAUUUUAUUUAUUUAUAGUAAGUGCUUAGUAGUUGAACUACUUUAUUUUAGCAAGAAAAUUAAUAGAACUAGUUUAUUUUUUUAGUUCAAGCAAUUAAUCCCGCAUCGACGUCGACAAUGCCUAUCCCGCAUCCUCGUCGUCGACUCGGCGGAGGAGGCCGACUUGAUCAGAGGGGCCAUGUCCGGGACUGGGCUCCGCCGGGCUGGUUUUGGGAGGUGCUACCUUCCGGUGGGCGUAGGUUGGUGAGGAGCCAGCCCGUCAUUGACCCGAUCCUUGUUUGGUGGCGGUCGCGUGGGCUAGUGACGGUGCCGAGGCUUCCGGACACCGCGGAGGUGGUACGUCACCGUGUCAGCGAGGAGGACCAGCACGUCCGUCACUACAUGGUUGCGUUGGAGGGCAGGUUCGACUAUACCUGGCAGGUUCUUCAGGGAUCUCACUGGAGCUAUGAUCCUAUGAUGGUUCCGUCCCUUUGGGUGUCCACCGCCCGCGCCGAUACCCGUCGGGCGCUACUGUUCUAGCUGUACUAGCGAUGCUAUAUGAAUGAUAGUAUUCGAGGUGUAUUAGUGAUAAUAUUCGACGAUGUACGGACGCAUGGAGAUGAUGUAGUUUUGCUUAUAAUUGAAUGCAUCCUAAUUUAAAUACUACUUUAUUUUGUGAUUUGAUUUUUCUUAUUGAAUGCUCAAAGUGGAAAACUACUCCUACUUUGAAUGCUAAAAUUGGAGAGCACUAUGCAAGGCGUAUGCAUAUGAUUAGUUGAUAGCUUAUAGGGUUUUUGUUUUCGCAGAAAUCUAGGAGCCCCCGGCCCCUCCAUCAUCCCCGCCGUCGUCCCCGUCACCGCCCCCUCCGACAUCGAGGUGAGACUAGCCAAAUCCUCUUUUAGAAAGAUAAUUAAACGAUAUUUCGGGUUGACUGUAAGUCUGUCGAGUCUCCAUCAUAUAUGAGAGGACGAAGAAUCCCGACUGUUGUCGUGGGGGUAGCUUCUCCUUCGUUCCCGUGUGCUAGACAAUUUGGUGUAAUGCACUCGAGAACGAAAGGAGGAGUUACCAUACCAUCACCGACGGUCACAAAUGUCAGAAAGGAAUCAGUGAGGGAGAGUUCCACCAUAUAUAUAUGAGAGGACGAAGAAUCCCGACUGUUGUCGUGGGGGUCGCUUCUCCUUUGUUCCCGUGUGCUAGACAUUUUGGUGUAAUGCACUCGGAGACAAAUGGAGGAGCGACCAUCAUCAACGGUCGAAUGUAUACACCACGUGAGCUGAGAGUUUUCAAGAAAAGACUCGACAAACCGAUAGUCAACCCGUGAUGAAUAAUAAUGAUCUAACUUAGGUUUUUUAGUACAUAUAUUUAAUUGUAGACGUUUAAUAUUUGAAUUAUGAACAUAGGAAAUGUCGUACUCGGACGACGAAAGUCUCCCGGGGGAGUGCGACUGGUGCCACGACGACUGAGGUCAGUGCGACAGGCCUCACCUGGACGAAGAUCGGCGCUUUAGUAUUAAGCUGGAGGAGACCUUCGAUGUUGAAACGGUACGCAACGACGACAAGUGUUAUUUUUUUGUAAUUAAGCACGGCUUCAACUAUUUCAACGUGUACUUUUCAUCUUUUACAAUUCGGCUAGCUUAUCCCAUGCCAUGCAAGACGCUACGUCUUGAAGAGGAUGGGUUUUGAAGACCAUGAAAGUAUGGAAACAAAGAAAAUUCACCUAAGGACCCAUCAUGAUAUAGAUUUUGAAGUAAAUCUGUAUAAUUCUGAGAGCGUAACCCAUUUUGGUUGCAAAAAUUGGGAAGCAUUUUGCAAGAUGUAUGGUUUUGAUGAGGGUAUGCUUGUCACCAUGGAUCUUGAUGAUCCUGACAUCGAGCAAGACAAUAUGGACAUUUGGGUCCUUGUUGAUACGCCUCCAAUUCUACCGCUAUGUGAGUUUCUCAAACAUAGUUAUUAACUAAUUUAUAUUGUUCAUUUCAAAAUAGUUGACAGCUUAUUUUCAUUGACAGCUUAUUUUGAUUGUUCAAACAAUGUGCGGAACAUAGUAGACAGAACCUACUACACCGAUGGCUCUGAGUUAACUUAUAAGGAGAAAACUCAUCUGGUCGGAUUUUGUACUGAUCUUGAGAAUUACAAUAUCUAUUGUAAAACUCCUACACAUUAUGGUCAAUACAUGCCACUAGUGCACGUGUUGAACUACGGUAACUACUAUGGAGAUACCCUGGUAAGAUUUCUUACUAUUACGACAUCCGUGCAUCUUUUGCAUAUUUCUAAAACUAGUACAUCAUUGCUAACUAUGAAGUUAUUACUAUGUUUUUCAACAGAUAAUCCCAGAGGAUUGUGUGCCUCAUUUGAUGUAUCAGAAUGGUAGGCUUGAUGUUUUGAACAUACAACCAGGUCAUCCUACGAAUCUCAACUGUCCAUACAGGAUUUCUAAAAGAAGUGGAGACAUGCAAAUCAAAGAAUGAAAAAAAUGUAUGGACAGUCGCAAGGAGGUUCUUGGAAGCAAAAGGGAGCGAAGCGCAAGAAUUGGAGACAAGAUGAUCUCCAUUCUCCAUAAUGGAGAGUCAGGGUCUAUAUUGUUUUAUGCUAUUUUACCUUAAAGAGGGUAUUUCGGUCCUACCUAAUACUGAUGAUCAUGUGCUAAGAACAAUUAAGUAGGGUUGGUUCGAUGACUAUGAGGAUGAUGAUCGUAUGACUGGUUAUUAAUAACGAGUAGAAGUUGUAUAAUGAUGAUUACUAGGACUUGUUAUUAUAUAUGAUGAUGCAUGAUGCGCGCAUGAAGAGUUAUUAUAUAUCAGCGGGUGAAAUGAACAUGGAUUGGAUUGAAGUGAAGGCAACAUGCAUGUGGUGCAUGUCGAAAGUAGUACAAUCCAAACUUGAUCAAGUUAGGAUUAGUAUUACUUUCGACAUGCACCACAUGUUGCCUUCACUUCAAUCUAAGCCAUGUUUAGGCAUAACAGUACGUAGCGUUGGUAAACCAAGCACGGAGAUAUAAGAGAUGACACUUCUCUCUAAUAGCUACCUAAUAACAACCUAAAUUAACCCUCAAAACCCCUAAAUCAGCCCCUUUAAAAAAACAAAAACUCAGCUCCAGCCAGAUGCUGACGCGUGGAUGCCUUUUGGUCUCGGUUGGUGUCACCAACCGGGACCAAAGGCCCCCGGCCUGGGCUGGCCGCAGCAGCCACGUGGAGGCCCAUCUGUCCCGGUUCGUGUAAGAAUCGGGACUAAAGGGUUAGGGCAUUAGUAACGAUCUUUAGUCCCGGUUCAAAAACCGGGACAAAAGGCCCUUAUCAACCGGGACAAUAGGCCCUUUUUCUACUAGUGACGGGGGAUGACCAUUGACCAAUGUCAUGGUAGAAACGGAUGCAAAGCUGCUGGUCAACAAUUCCAAGAGUGGGCAAAUACAAGAAAAUACUGUAGAGAUGCUAGCUAAUAAAAUUGAGAUGGAACCAUGGAGGACAAAUGUACUAGCUAAUACUCCAUAUCAAUUUGUUUGUUUACCAGGAGAAUUAAUCACGGUGGUGACGCCUUGUAUGUUCGUACCACGUCACACAGGCUGGUCGGGGAAGGAGCUGAGGAGCCCACCUCCGGCUUGCAACCAACGAGGUGGAGCAGGAUGCGAGCUGAUCCUAGGUCCUGAGAUUGACAGGAGACAACGAACUAGCCGCUGCCGGAGCCUGAGAUCGGGAGGCUGCGAUGAGCACACAGUGUCGCGGAUCUUAGUACUCCAUGAGAUCUGAUCUGCUCGGCCUCAAACCGAACCGCCGGCGACACAGCUGGCAAGAGCCAUCGGAAAGAUGGAACAUCACCUCCGCGCCGGCGUACUUGGCGAACUUGGCUGAGGGAUCUGGCCGCCGCCGCUGCGCUUGGGG